rnacentral:rRNA from 1 species
AGUGAACGCUGGCGGUAGGCCUAACACAUGCAAGUCGAACGGCAGCACAGUAAGAGCUUGCUCUUACGGGUGGCGAGUGGCGGACGGGUGAGGAAUACAUCGGAAUCUACUUUUUCGUGGGGGAUAACGUAGGGAAACUUACGCUAAUACCGCAUACGACCUACGGGUGAAAGCAGGGGAUCUUCGGACCUUGCGCGAUUGAAUGAGCCGAUGUCGGAUUAGCUAGUUGGCGGGGUAAAGGCCCACCAAGGCGACGAUCCGUAGCUGGUCUGAGAGGAUGAUCAGCGACACUGGAACUGAGUCACGGUCCAGACUCCUACGGGAGGCAGCAGUGGGGAAUAUUGGACAAUGGGCGCAAGCCUGAUCCAGCCAUACCGCGUGGGUGAAGAAGGCCUUCGGGUUGUAAAGCCCUUUUGUUGGGAAAGAAAAGCAGCAGGUUAAUACCCCGCUGUUCUGACGGUACCCAAAGAAUAAGCACCGGCUAACUUCGUG